UGGUGGGUAGCUUCCCGGAAACGAAAGUCUUCCGGUUCCGGGGGAAGUAUGGUUGCAAAGCUGAAACUUAAAGGAAUUGACGGAAGGGCACCACCAGGAGUGGAGCCUGCGGCUUAAUUUGACUCAACACGGGGAAACUCACCCGGCCCGGACACCGUAAGGAUUGACAGAUUGAUAGCUCUUUCAUGAUUCGGUGGUUGGUGGUGCAUGGCCGUUCUUAGUUCGUGGAUCGAUUUGUCUGGUUUAUUCCGAUAACGAGCGAGACUCUAGCCUACUAAAUAGUAACGAGAUUGCCAUUGUCUUAGUUGCUUCUUAGAGGGAUUUUCGGUGUUUAGCCGCACGAGAUUGAGCAAUAACAGGUCUGUGAUGCCCUUAGAUGUCCGGGGCUGCACGCGCGCUACACUGGCGAAAUCAGCGUGCUGUAUCCAUUCUCGAAAGGGAUUGGUAAACCCAUGAAAAUUUGCCGUGCUUGGGAUCG
rnacentral:rRNA from 1 species